GACAGAGGUGCCAAGCGUUAGGCGGAAUCACUGGGCGUAAAGCGCACGUAGGCGGCUUUGCAAGUUAGAGGUGAAAGCCCGGGGCUCAACUCCGGAAUUGCCUUUAAAACUGCAUCGCUAGAAUUGUGGAGAGGUAAGUGGAAUUCCGAGUGUAGAGGUGAAAUUCGUAGAUAUUCGGAAGAACACCAGUGGCGAAGGCGACUUACUGGACACAUAUUGACGCUGAGGUGCGAAAGCGUGGGGAGCAAACAGG
rnacentral:rRNA from 1 species